rnacentral:misc_RNA from 1 species
UAUAAGUGUAACUAUUAAAUCCCCAAACUUUAUAAAAGUGUUAUAAAAAGUCAAAGGGUGUACAAGUCAUCUAGAUACCGCUCAAAUCACCCUCCAAUUGCAUAUUUAUAUGUUCCUUUUUAUGCAUCUCUAGGCUUCAUAAUCCUUGGCUAAAAAUAUUUGUAGGUAGUUGGUUCUAUAUGCAUCACAUAAAUACAAUCACAUAUCCAAUGCUAGUGAGGAAAUCAACUGAAGCUAAAAGAUUAUUUCUUGGCUUUGUUUGCGGAAAACACUGGGCCCAAAUGUUGAAGAGACCAUUUGAACUAAGAGAGGAAACUGUAGAAGUGCAAAUAAGGUAACAGGUGCACAAGCAAGCAGGCCAAUUGGAACUGCAAUCCACUUCACCCUAUGAAACAAAACCAAGUGAAAGGCAGCGCUGAAAGCUAUGAGCAUUGAGGCUAUUGAAAAGAACAAGGUAAUAAGACCAAUGCUUAACCUCUUAGGUAAUGCCCUGAGAAAAUCUUCUUCCGAAUAGCGAGAUGUGAGUAUGCCCAGAAACAUUAACAAUGAGGUAGAUGAAGCAAAAAGUCCCAAGGCAUCUGAUAUAGCAAAAAUCAUGAAAGCUGUUUCUUUCAAGUAAAUUGGGAUCCCUUUAUCACUGUUGUUGCCUCCUGGUACAGUAAAAGCUGCUGCGAAUACAACUGUGAUCACAAGUGCCGCAACUGUUGCGCAUGAUGUAGCUGUAUCCUUCAUCCAUUUCUCCCCUGUCUCAACUAGAUUCUUGUGCUCUUUGGUGAACAGAAUUCUUGGAAUAUGCCCAUUCUCGCCUAUAUUUUCCUUGUAUGAUGGUUGCACAACCUUUUCCACUUCCUGGAACCAUUGCAACUCCCGUUGCAUUUGCAGAGCAGCACCAGAAAUCUUGUUUGAUGGGUUUAACUUCGCUGCUAAAUGCAACAUGUUGUUGCCAAAGUUAUCUGUUAGUGAUGUAACAAUAUGCUUAUGAUUACCCAUUUGAUAAAGGAGACUGAAAAUUUUUUCUUGGCGAUCUUUAACUGCAAGAAGAAAAAUAGUAUAGCUAUCCUCGGCGAACCAAACCAUGUAAGGGUAGGACCUAAUAGCUUCGGCAACAAACUCUUGAAUACCCAAUCUAGUGGCAUUUAUUGUUGCAGGUCCUAAUAUACUAUAAAUUUCUGAGUCACUUGCGUUUAAAACUUCAAAAAUCAAUAUUUUGAGUAGCUCCAUUGCAUGCUUAUGCAUCAGCAUUGUAUUCUCUAUGCGUUGUAGAAAUUGAAAUUUCUUGGAUUCCUUUCGGCGUUCUUCUGAAUCCCCACUAAUUUGAUCCUCCACAUCUCCUCCUCGAGUGACAGUAGUUUCUCUGCUUGUACCAUCUAAAAUACCUGCAUCAAAGAGGCUCAUUCAGCGAUAGAACCAAAUUAAAAUGUAUGAAGAGAUCAAGUACGCACGACAAAUUAAACGCUGGCAAAAUCCAAGAUGACUUCCGCUUGCAAAUGCCUGAGGCUUUUUAGACAGUGUAUACAAAGCAGUAAAUCCAUAUUGAUCUCUUCCACGUGCUAAUGCGAGAUGGUGUUUCAAUAGAUCAAGAGCGAUGCCUGCUCAUAAAGAACAAGUUGAGAAGAGUCAUCAGUAGUAGUUAGGAGAAUGCACAAGCACCGAACCACUUUACCAAGGGGCAUGCGACUAGCUAGGAUUUAAACUCUAAUUAUAGAUACUAUGACUACAAUACCAAUCAAAAGUUUAAUUUCUUGCCAAUUUGAAAUUUAGUUGGGAGAAUUCACUAACCAUAAAAAUCAGCAGUGAUCAGAGCGUUGAGAAGUCUAACACCAUCUUCGCCGGCGAAAGGACUUGGGUGCUCCUCACGAGUCACUGAUAGAAGAAAGCGAACGGUUUCCUUAUGAGCAUAUGAAGCAGCAUAAUGAAGUGGCGUAGCAUUGAGACAGUUCCUUCCCUGUGUUAAUGUUGAAUUCUUUUUCACCAAUAUCUUUGCUGCUUCUGUAUUUCCAACCAUAGCAGCACAGUGAAGAGGAUUGUUACCAUCUCUAUUCUCAAUUCCCACCAUAUCUUUCUGUCAUUUUAUCUGCAAGUUUCUGCACAAAUUCAAUGGAGUGGCCUGCUGUAAUUGCAACAUGGAGAAUAGUCUCUUGAAAGUCAAAAAUCUUGGCUGUUAAUGCAUCAGAAUCUUCAGCAAAAAUUCCACUUGCACUGCCCCAGUCGCCAUGAA